ensembl:lncRNA novel transcript
CUCACUCGCAUCUUCCAUGGGGAGACAGGUGGAAUGCAAUCUCUAUCUGUGAACCUGUAGUCAAUUCAGAGUUCCCCAGACUGGCGUUCUGUUACAGAGGGAGUUUAGAUUCAACUUCAGUUGCUUUUGGCAUCUUUGUGGUAAAAUAUUUGCCACCAGACCUGCCUUACAAGAGGUCCCAGAAGGAGUGCUAAAUAUAACCUGCCUUACAGGAGGUUGCCAAGGGAGUACUAAAUAUAGAAAGGAAAGACUGUUACCAGCCACUACAAAAACACACUUUAAGUACAUGGACCAGUGACACUAUAAAGCAACCACACAAACAAGUCUGCAUAAUAACUAGAUAACAACAUGAUGACAGGAUCAAAUCUGCAUAUGUAAAAACUAGCCUUGAAUAUAAAUGGGCUAAAUGCCCAAUUAACAC